GACGAACGCUGGCGGCGUGCUUAACACAUGCAAGUCGAACGAUGAAGCCGGAGCUUGCUCUGGUGAAUUAGUGGCGAACGGGUGAGUAACACGUGAGUAACCUGCCCUUGUCUCUGGGAUAACUGCGGGAAACUGUAGCUAAUACCGGAUACGACCCUCGGAGGCAUCUCCUGGGGGUGGAAAGAAUUUCGGUCAAGGAUGGACUCGCGGCCUAUCAGCUAGUUGGUGAGGUAAAGGCUCACCAAGGCGACGACGGGUAGCCGGCCUGAGAGGGUGACCGGCCACACUGGGACUGAGACACGGCCCAGACUCCUACGGGAGGCAGCAGUGGGGAAUAUUGCACAAUGGGCGCAAGCCUGAUGCAGCAACGCCGCGUGAGGGAUGACGGCCUUCGGGUUGUAAACCUCUUUUAGCAGGGAAGAAGCGAAAGUGACGGUACCUGCAGAAAAAGCACCGGCUAACUACGUGCCAGCCGCCGCCGUAA
rnacentral:rRNA from 1 species